GACGCUCAGGGCAGGAGGCAUUUUUUCCUCCUAGGGGUCCCCGAGGCGGCCCCUGGGGUGGGGGUGGUCUGGGCACUUUGUCCCCUAAGUCACCUGGAACUGCUGUCCACAACACCUCCAUCCCAGAGAUUCAGCUCUGGGUUCAGUGGGCCGGGUGCUCAAAUCUCUUUACUGCCUCCCAUUUUACAGACGAGAGACGAGGCUUCACGGGAGCCUGAGGCCGAGGACAGGGUUGCAACCCAAAGACGUUUGGGGGAACCUAGACAGGUGCGGGGUGAUAGGGGUGUCGUCCACGUCCUCCAGCCCCUCUGCCCUGGCUAGGACCACGACGUCUGGGUAGAAGGCCAGAAGAAUCUCAGGUGGGUCCGGUUCAGGGAGAGGGCUGGGGUCCCGGCCACCCCCCGGUAGGGCUGGGGGAGGGGCGGCAGGAUUGACAGUCGGUAAUUGGGUAACUGGAGGCGGCUUCUCCGGCCGGGCGGCCCAGCCACCGCGACGCCGGGCCCCUGACGUCACCCGAUUCGCCAGGAAAUGAACUUUUUAAUAAUCUGAGGAGGGAGGAAAGCCCUCGGUCCCCUUGGCUCGGGGGGCGCCCAGCCCGGCUCGGCUCCGCGGGAGCGCCCCCAGCGCCCCCUCCCAGCCAGUUCUGGGCAGCGCCAAGGGGGCGCGGGCUCAGGCUGGGGCCUCCUCCUGCCUCUGCGUCUGGCGUCCGUCUGUCCGUCCGAGGCCCUGGCGCAGGUAAAGGCGUGGGGCUGGGGGCGGGGGGCACAGAGCUCCUUGGGGCUGGAAACCCGCGCGCCUCGGGCCUUGGGGACCCACUGGUCCGGCCGCCCGCUGCGGCUCCCACUCCUCUCCACUCCGGAGCGAGCAGGGCCUGGGCUGCUUGGAAUUCCGCUCCUUCGCGGAGGAGGCCGGCGGCCGCCAGGGACGGCGCGGGGCCGGAUCGAGAGCGCGAGGCCGCGGCCGCAGGGCCUCCGGGCCGGGCCGGCGUGGCAGGUGAGCGGCCUCCGCGACUCCAGCUCACGACUCUUCAUCAACGCAUAAAACGAGAUGACCACGGAGCCUGUUUGGCGUCUCUGCGGCCUCUUGAAGACACCGCAGGCACGGGGAUCCCCACAGGUUGGGCAAGGAUGCCCCUCUGGAAGCUAGACCCCAGGACUCGGCGCGGGAGGCUGCACCGGCGCUGGGCGGUGGACGCCGAGCUGGGCGGAAGCUUUCCGCCCCGCCGCGAUCGGCGCCUCGGCUUGCAAGGCGGUGGCCGCUCAGAGACCUGGGGAAGGCAGAUUAUCGGAGCCCUUUCAGAGCGCGCACAACAAAUGCGCCCGCCAUCGAAUGCAGCAUUUACCACCGCAGAUCCGCGCGCUGAUGGGCAGGCAGAUAGCGUCCGCGGGGGGCACGCCGGGCGCCCAGUGCCCGAGCCAGCGAGCGUGCGCCCCGCUCUGCCCGGCGUGUUUGGAGGAGCACGUGGGUGUGCUAGCGACCGAACACUGGACAAGAACGUGGGGGAUGCGCAUAAGUGUGUCACCCAAGUGUGCUGCGAAAACGUGCACGUGUACCAGCCCUGCGCACAAGCGUGGCGGGAGUGUGUUCUGAGUGGCCUGAGAUGGCCGCUGAGGUGCACGAGGGGAGCGGUGCUGCACGUGAGCUUGUGCGGGGCGCGCAGCUCAGAGCGGGGCACACGUGCGUGA
ensembl:lncRNA